CACGCUGUUAAUGAAUUAAAGAAUUUAUCAGUGUUUUUGGUGCAAUUUCGGAUAAUUUUAUGUGCAAAACAUGUAAACGAAAGCAAACAUUUGGAGAAGCAGGCAAUCUGAUUCUAGGAAGAUCUGUUCUAUGGCCCUGGAAUCGCAUACUAGUAAAAAACUGCGAUCAUUUUUGGAACCUGUACGCUGCACGGCGCAUUUACAAAAUGCCAUUUUCAAGCCGCCAUUGUACCGUUGUUAUUAACAAUUAAAGUUUUAAAAAAAUAUUCAUGUUACAUUAUAAUAUUAAUAAAUGAU